UAUCUCUGUAGAGUCUGCAUAUCAAUAAGCGGAGGAAAAGAAACUAACAAGGAUUCCCUUAGUAACGGCGAGUGAAGCGGGAAGAGCUCAAAUUUGAAAUCUUCAAGGUUUUACCUUGACGAAUUGUAGUUUAAAGAAGUGUUUUCUGUUAGAUGAGUAGCUAAAAGUUCCUUGGAAUAGGACAUCAUAGAGGGUGAGAAUCCCGUAUUUGACCGUUAUUUUCAGCUGUGUGAUACACUUUCAAAGAGUCGGAUUGUUUGGGAAUGCAGUCCAAAAUGGGUGGUAAAUUUCAUCUAAAGCUAAAUAUUGGCGAGAGACCGAUAGCGAACAAGUACCGUGAGGGAAAGAUGAAAAGAACUUUGAAAAGAGAGUUAAACAGUACGUGAAAUUGUCAAAAGGGAAGCGUUUGACACCAGUGUUGUUUUCUCGAAAAUCAAUUAAAAAUGGCUUGAUUUUGUGUUGUAUUGACCUUAAAAGCUUUCUUCACUUUUUUCAUGUCUUUUUUAAUGCACUUUUCGUUUAACAAGUCAACAUCAGUUUCUUUUGUUGUAAAAAGGUCACUGGAAGGUGGCUUUCUUUUCGGAGAAAGUGUUUAUAGCCUUUGACUUCUGCAAUCGGAGAGACUGAGGUCUGCAGCGUAGAUCCUUCUGGAUUAGAUUCAUUUGUGCUAAGUUACAACCGUUUAUAGACAACUUGUUGACUAUAUUCGAUCCUGUUAGCUUACUCGCUUAUGUAAUUUUACCUACGCUUAGGAUGUUGAAGAUGUAGCACAUCAU
rnacentral:rRNA from 1 species